rnacentral:rRNA from 1 species
AUUGAACGCUGGCGGCAGGCCUAACACAUGCAAGUCGAGCGGAUGAAGGGAGCUUGCUCCUGGAUUCAGCGGCGGACGGGUGAGUAAUGCCUAGGAAUCUGCCUGGUAGUGGGGGAUAACGUCCGGAAACGGGCGCUAAUACCGCAUACGUCCUGAGGGAGAAAGUGGGGGAUCUUCGGACCUCACGCUAUCAGAUGAGCCUAGGUCGGAUUAGCUAGUUGGUGGGGUAAAGGCCUACCAAGGCGACGAUCCGUAACUGGUCUGAGAGGAUGAUCAGUCACACUGGAACUGAGACACGGUCCAGACUCCUACGGUAGGCAGCAGUGGGGAAUAUUGGACAAUGGGCGAAAGCCUGACCCAGCCAUGCCGCGUGUGUGAAGAAGGUCUUCGGAUCGUAAAGCACUUUAAGUUGGGAGGAAGGGCAGUAAGUUAAUACCUUGCUGUUUUGACGUUACCAACAGAAUAAGCACCGGCUAACUUCGUG